CAGCCCUGAAACAGCAGUGGCAGAGGCCUCUGCACACUGACACUCUGAGACACCUAAAAUAAAGUUUCUUUCAAGUAAAUGUCCCGUAGCUCAGAAAUGGAAGCUAAACAGCCACAUAUACCUGUGGUACCCCCGACAGGCCGAGGCCGGGCCACCGACGGCAUCUCCUCCGAGUAGAUCCCUCUGGCAGCAAAUGGGGCUUCGGCGGAGGCCUGUGGCUGCUGAGGGUCAGGGGGCACCAGCUCUGUAGACUGCAGCAAACCGGGGCCAAAACCUGGUCUGAAGGCAAAGCAAACCAGCACAUCAGGACUCCACUGCACCCUGGCCUUGGUAUUCCAUGAGGUCCACCCCCAACCUUACAGAAGGUAACACUUAUUUGUCUACCUGCUUAGCCAUCUCCUCUCCUGGAAGGGGAAGAGAUGUUUCUCCUGCUCCCUGAGGGAAGGGACUUUUCUAUUUGUUCACUGCCCUACCUCCAGCACUAGAACAGCGCCUGCAAUACAGUUGAUGCUGACAAAAGCCAGGGCCUGCUCAUCUCCAGCAUCUGCCUCGUCCUGUGCUUCCUACCCCUGGCUACACGUCUGCAUCACCUGGCGGGCCCGAAAAAAUCACGACGCUCACACUGCACCCCAGACGAAUUGAAACAGAAACACUAGGGGCGAGACCAACACAGCGGUAAUUUUUUUUUUUUUGAGACAGAGUCUCGCUCUGUCCCCCAGGCUGGAGUGCAGUGGCGCAAUCUUGGCUCACUGCAAGCUCCACAGUGGUAACUUUUAAAAUUACAGACGAUCCUGCUGUCCAUCAAGGCUGAAAACCAGUGUUCUAAAGCAGCGGAUCGCAAACUUUUUUUUAUCUCCAGACCUCUUUUGACUCAUAAAAAUUAUUGAGGACUCCCAAGAGCUUUUGUUUCUGUGGAUUGUAUCGCUAUUUACCAGAUUAGAAAUUAAAAUGGAAAAAAAACACGCCCUCCCCCAAAAGGGUCUCAAGCACCCUCCAGGAGUCUGAGAACUUCACCUUGAGAACCACUCUUCUGAAGAAAUUCAAGAAAAAAAAGAUAAUAGUCUGCUACAGUUCUUUGCAAAUGACACUGAACCACUAAUUCACAGAUGUAACCAGUUUGGUGAGAAUGUAGGCUGACUUGCACUUAUUCUCCAGUGUUAUUUCUAGAGUAUAUCUCAUAAACUGAAACCCAGGCUACCUAUGUAACUCUCUUUAAAUAACUGCUGUUGUUUUAGAUUGGCCUCAGAGAGGGAUGUGUGACAUCCCUGACUUUAUAGAUCUAAGAGCCUUCCGUGAGGCAUGCUCCUCCUUCAAGAACUGUAAACCGGAGCCCACACCUCACCUAAUCACAGUCUCUGGACCAUCCACCCACAAACUAGCUCUUGCCAUUCACUUAAUUCUCCCUACUUUCCCCCACCUUUUGCCAACAUUUCCAUCCCUCUAUUCUUAACAUGUUUUGCAAUCCAACACUCUAAAAUCCUUUAAAGUGGGUGAUUAUACAAUUUAUCAUCCACACCACAACACUUCUGAGGGUAAAAGCUAUUAAUAAUGGGACUAACUUGGGUAACUGGACCAGUCAUGGUCCCCCAUCUCUAACUUCUGCCCUGUAUCACCUAAGCUCACCUCGCCAGUUUUACCUUUGCUGCUUUUGGAUCACAAAGCUGUGUGGUAGGGGAGGAAGGGCGGAGAAAAGCAAAGCAAACCCCUCUGAAAAUGAUGAUGGUUUAAAAAAUAGAAAAAUAAGUAGGAAGCAGAUAACAUUCCUACUUGGGUGUGACUUCUGGUCACUGAAGGGAUGGCUGGGUUUGGUUUCUGAGAUUCACUCUGUUUUAUUGCAAUGCCAGCUUUGUAAUAAACCAGUGUCCACACAUAGCUUGUCGACUGGUCUAUUUCUCUAGCCUCACAGCAAUGCUGUACCAUCUUAAUCACUUGACAGUAAUGCACAAUAUUUAGAAUGGUCCUAACACCUCCUUCUUCUUUCUCAAAGUGUCUGGGCUAUUCUUGGCCCUUUGCAUUUCCAGAUAAAUUUUAGAAUCCAUCUGUCGGUUUCCACAUAUUAAAAAGGAAUUACUGGGAUUCUGAAUGGGAUUGCAUUGAAUCUACAAAUCACAUGGGGAGAA
rnacentral:lncRNA from 1 species